GGAGGAUUGCUUGAGCCUGUGAGUAGGAGGCCACAGUGAGCUAUGAUCAUACCACUGCACUCCAGCCUGAGUGACAAAGCGAGACCCUGUCUC
rnacentral:miRNA from 1 species